UACGUAGGGUGCGAGCGUUAAUCGGAAUUACUGGGCGUAAAGCGUGCGCAGGCGGUUUUGAAAGUCAGAUGUGAAAUCCCCGGGCUCAACCUGGGAACUGCGUUUGAAACUCCAAAGCUAGAGUAUGGGAGAGGGAGGUAGAAUUCCACGUGUAGCAGUGAAAUGCGUAGAGAUGUGGAGGAAUACCGAUGGCGAAGGCAGCCUCCUGGCCCAAUACUGACGCUCAUGCACGAAAGCGUGGGGAG
rnacentral:rRNA from 1 species